rnacentral:rRNA from 1 species
UAAGGAAUAUUGGGCAAUGGAGGCAACUCUGACCCAGCAACGCCGCGUGAAGGAAGAAGGCCCUCGGGUUGUAAACUUCUGUUAUCAGGGAAGAAGAUAGUGACGGUACCUGAUGAGAAAGCUCCGGCUAACUACGUGCCAGCAGCCGCGGUAAUACGUAGGGAGCAAGCGUUGUCCGGAUUGACUGGGCGUAAAGGGAGUGUAGGCGGUUUGGUAAGUCAAAUGUGAAAGCCCGUGGCUCAACCACGGAAUUGCAUUUGAUACUGCUAGACUCGAGUUCGGGAGAGGUAAGUAGAAUUCCUAGUGUAGCGGUGGAAUGCGUAGAUAUUAGGAGGAAUACCAGUGGCGAAGGCGGCUUACUGGAACGACACUGACGCUGAGGCUCGAAAGCGUGGGGAGCAAACAGGAUUAGAUACCCUGGUAGU